rnacentral:rRNA from 1 species
UACGUAGGUGGCGAGCGUUGUCCGGAUUUACUGGGCGUAAAGAGCGCGCAGGCGGCUGGUCAAGUCCGAUGUGAAAGCUCCCGGCUUAACUGGGAAAUUGCAUCGGAAACUGUCAGACUUGAGUGUAGGAGAGGGUACUGGAAUUCCCGGUGUAGCGGUGAAAUGCGCAGAGAUCGGGAGGAACACCAACGGCGAAAGCAGGUACCUGGACUAUUACUGACGCUCAGCUGCGAAAGCUAGGGGAGCAAACAGG